CUCAGUGGACGAUUCCAUUCCCAUCUCACUUCUCCUAAUAUUGUCUAAUGGGCCACGCCAGUUGCAUAUUCCUGUUCUUGUAGAGUGCCUAGUGUAGAGUCCAGCCUCCUAGCUGGAGCCCCUGCCCCGGGAGUGGUACUUAGGAUGUCACGAAUGGGACAUUCCUUCCCCUCCCCACUGACAGAACUGUGAAUCAACAAGACAGCUGCAGGUCUCUGUGUCUGCAUCGAUCAUUAAAUUCUACCACCUCCCCCUCAGUGGAGGGAGACUGUUGUUCACUAUAUUCUUUGCUUUCUCCCCAGCACCUAGAACAGUGUCAGGCACAGAAUAGGCCCUCCAUUGAUGUUGGUAAGGAAAGCAUCCUUUGACCUGGCAAUUCCAUGGCCAACGGUAUGUCCUGGGAAUGCAUAGUUUGUCCUGAUCACAGUGCCUUUCUCCAUGGCGUGGUAUUAAUGGAGAGUAGCAAGAAGGAGAUGCUCAUACCUACCCAGUGAGUGUGUUUUCAUGCACGUGCAAAUGUGUGUGUGUGUGUGUGUGUUUGUUAACGUGUAUAUGUGCACACUUGGGGGCAUGUGUGUGUGCAUGCAUGUAUGUACACAGAUCUCACAUGCAUGGACUAGAAAACUUACAAUUAGUGUCAAUUAUACUCCCCAAGGAGAUCUUAUGACUCGUUGCAAUCCCUAUCAAAAUUCUAAUUACUUAUCUCCCUAAAUUAACAAAAUGGUGCUAUAAUUCUAAUGAAAUGAAAGUCUCCUGCAAAGAGGAUGUAGAGAAAAAGGAACACUUUUACACUGUUGGUGGGAUUGUAAAUUAGUGCGACUACUAUGGAAAUCACAGUGGCGGGCCCUGAAAAGACUAGGCAUGGAAAUCCCGUAUGACCCAAGUAUAUCCCUCCUUGGUAUUUUUCCUGAAUUAAAAUCAUACUACAGUGGUAUGUGCAUACCCAUGUUUAUAGCAGCACAACUCACAAUAACCAAACUAUUGAACUAGCCUAGUUGUCCAAUGGUUGAAUGGGUAAAGAAAAUGUGGUAUGUGUACUCAGUGGAGUUAAUUAUUAAGCCAUAAAGAAAAGUGAAAGUAUGUCAUUUGCAGGAAAAUGGAUGGAACUAGAGACAUUAUGUUUAGCAAAGUAAGUCAAACUCCAACCAUAAAAGGAGCUAUGUUUUCUCUUAUAUGCGGAAGCUAGAGAGGAAAAAGGAAAAGAAAGGUGGAAAUGAAAGUUUGGUCUGUACAGGAAAGGCACCAAGGAGUGGGAGGUGGGGAUGGAAGGAGGGAGUGCUUGGGGAGUGAUAUUGGCCAAAGUAUAUUGUUGUGUGCAUGUACGAGUAUGUACCAUCAAAUACCACCAUUAUGUACAAUUCUAAAGCCCUAAUAAAAAUGUAGGGGAAAAAGGCUUCCACAAUAGCCAAAACAGUCUUGAAACACAACAAAGUUGCAAGAUUCACCCUCCCUGAUUUGAAAACCUACUAUAGAUUUACUGCAUUCAAGACAGUGUGGUACUGACAUAAUUUUAGAUAGUGGCAUAAAAUGGAGUUUUCUGAAAGCCGUAUUUCUGUGGUCAACUUAUUGUUGUCAAGGAUGAAAAGUCUUUUCAGUGGAUUGUCCUGGCAUAACCUGGAUGUCCAUACACAAAGGAAUGAAUUUAGACCUGUAUGUCACACUGUCUACAAUUAAAAUGAAUUACAGACCUAAAUGUAAGACUUUAAAAUUAUCGGAAGAAAACAGAGACAUAAGUCUUCAAAAACCUUGGUUUGGGCAACAAUUUACUAGAUGUGACAUGGAUGCACAAACAACCCAAGGCAAAAUAGAUAAUGUGGCAUCACCAAAAUUUGAACUUUUAUACUUCAAAGAAUACCAUCAAGAAAGUGAAACGUCAACCCAAAAUAUAAGAAAAAAGUUUUGCAAAUCAUAUGUGAUAAAGAACUUCUACCUAUAAAACACACUCACUCACCUCUCAACUCAAUAGAAAAGAAAACCCAAUUAGAAGAUGGGCAAGGAAUCUAAAUACAGUUUGUCCAGAGAAGAUAUCCAAAUGGCUGAUAAGCACAUGAAAAGGAGCUCCAUAUCAUUAGCUUCAGGGAAAUGUGUCUAUGAGUCAGUCAUGUUGAGAUAGCACUUUAUACCUGCUAGGAUGUUUUCCAAAAAACAUGUUGGUUAAGUAUGUGAAGAAAGUGAAACCCUCAUAAGAUGCUGGUUGGAAUGUAAAAUGAUGCAGUCACUUUGGAAACAGUUCCACGAAAUUAAAUACAGAGCAUCAUGUGGCCCAGAAUUCCACUUCUUGGUACAUAUCCCCCCAAAAUGAAAACUUAUGUCCCCACAAAAACUUGUGUAUGCAUGUGAAUUGGGAAGACAACCUCAGGUCUCUCUAUAUCUAUCAGUACUAAAUUAAACCACCUCCCCCUCAGUAGAAUUGUAUAUUGUUGGCUCUAUUUCUUUCUCUUUCCCUAUCACCUAGAAUAGUGUGAGGCACAAAUUAGGCCCUCCAUUGAUAUUAGUUAGAAUUCCUAUGUCCAAAAAUGUGUAUUAGGGAAGCAAUUGAAAAUAUGUACAAUGGUAUGAAGAGGACAUUACUUGUGGGGAUAAUAAGCUUAAAUAGUUAAUGAUUGUAGUCAAGUUAAGUGAGAGAUGAAAUGUUCAUAUUGUGUGAUGUAACAUCCUCUGUACUUGAACCACAUAAAAGAACUGGUUUAUCCUGGCCAUAAUGCUUUUUUUCAUGUCAUGCUUUUAAUGGGGAUUGGUCAUUAGGAGAUGCGCGCGUGCGCACACACAAACACACACACGCACACACAAACACACACACACACACACACACACACGGGAUGCUUACAAAUGUAGAAAGCAAGGCCAACAAAAUACCUAAAGUGAUUUCAGCAGUCUCCUCUGAUGAUUAUACUGAGAGAGGCAAGAUACGGACUGUUUAUUUCAUUUUUUGAUGUAGUAGAUUGUAUUUGCCAAAAAUCAUCAAAAUAUACAAGUUUACAUGUAGUUUUCCUUUUUUAACCUUUAAUGUUAUAAAGUUAUAACUCAAGUACUGUAGUAUUCAAAAGGUUGUGAGCCAUCACAGUAACCAUUUCUAGAAUGCUAUAUUCUGAAUGAUUGAUUGUCUGCACCUAAAUUCAUAUUGAAGUUUGUUCUUAAAUGAGGCAGUAUUGGGUGCGGUGGGUCCCUUAAGAGUUAUUUAGGUGAUGGGGCUGUGUUCUCAUGAAUAGACUAAUUUUUUUUUUUAAUUUUAGGAAUGGAUUUGCUAUAGAAGAAGUUGUGUGCUUUCAUCUCUGCUACCUCACCAGAAAUCAAGAAGAUGCUGGCACGAUGCUACUAGACCUCUGAGCCAUGAACCAAAGUAAACCUUUUUGUUUGUUUACAUUAUAGUCUUAGAUAUUUUGCAAUAAGGAAUGGAUUAAAACAUAGGACCCACCCCAUACUGUUAACAUCUCUUCCCCCUUCUCUAUUCCCUUGUCAUUCAUGUAAUUAUCUUCUUUUAUUUACGGAUUUGUGGAUUCUAUGCAUUUUAUGUAAAUAGAAUCGUAUACUGGUUCCUUUUGUUUCUGGCUUCUUUCAGAUAGUAUAAUGAUUUUCAGUUUUCAUCCAUCUUGAAGUAUAUAUCAGUACUUUUAUGGCUGAAAAAUAUUUCAUUAUGUGGAUAUACUACCACAUUUGGUUUAUAUAUUCAUUAGUUGAUGGACAUUUGGGGCUGCUGAUAGUCUUUGGCUAUUAUGAAUAAUGCUGCUUUGUACAUGUAUGUACAAGUUUCUGUAAACGCAUAUUUUCAUUUCUCUUUGGUAUGUACCCAGGAGUGAAAUCACUUGAUCAUGUUUAACUUUUUGAGGAAAAGCCAAACUGUUUUCUGUAACAGCUGUACCAUUUUGCAUUCCCACCAGUUUCUCCACAUCUUUCUCAACAUGUAUUACAUGUCAUUUUUUAAAAAUGGCUUUUAAUAUAUUGGAGAAUGUAUUGCCUAAUCCAAAGUCACAAUAACUUAUUCCUAUGCUCUCUUACAGGAGUUUUAUAGUUUUAGCUCUUACCCUGGGAUUUUGAUUCAUUUUUGCUGAUUUUUGUAUACAGUAGGAUGUCAGAGUUGAAAUUCAUUCUUUUGUAUGUGGAUAUCCAAUUGUCCCAGCAACAUUUCCUGAUAAUACUCUUUUCCCACUCAAUUAUCUUGGCAUCCUUGUCAAAAAUUAAGUCACUGUGUAUGUGUGGGUUUAUCUCUGGAUUCUUUUUUAAAAAAUAUUUAUUUUUUAGUUAUAGGUGGACACAAUAUCUUAUUUUACUUUAUGUGGUGCCGAGAAUCGAACCCAGUGCCUCACACAUGCUAGGCGAGUGCUCUACCUGUGAACCACAACCCCAGCCCUCUCUGGAUUCUUAAUUCUGUUCCAUUGAUCAAUAGGUCUGUCUUUAUGCCAGUGCCACACUGUCUUGAUUACUGGAGCUUAGUAAUAAUUUCUGAAGUUCAAAAGUAUAAGUCCUUCAACCUGGUUUUCUGUUUCAAGAUUACUUAACCUGCGUUGGGUUGCUGGAAUUUCCAUAUUCAUUUUAGAAUCAGCCUGUCAAUUUCUGCAAAAACUGUAGUUGGAAUUUUGAUACAGAUUACACUGAAUAUGUAUAUCAACUUUGGAAAUAUUGUCAUUUUAUUAUUCAGUUUUCCAAUCCAUGAACUCAGAUGUCUUUCCAUUUAUUUAAGUCAUCUUUAAUGUCUUUCAACAGUGCUUUGUAAUUUUCAGUGUACAACUUUUACACCUCCUUGGUUAAAUUAAUUUCCUAUGUAUUUU
rnacentral:lncRNA from 1 species